GGAGUAUUCUCUCAGUCCAACAAAAGAUUUCUCAAAGUUGUCAAAAUUUGGAUGUAUCCAGACAUAACUUAACUUAGUGUAUAGAUGCAUUCAAAUUUGAUCAAACUUGAGACAUCAUUUGUUGGACGGAGGAAGUACUAU
rnacentral:pre_miRNA from 1 species